rnacentral:rRNA from 1 species
CAGUAGCCGCGGUAACACGUAGGGUGCGAGCGUUAAUCGGAAUUACUGGGCGUAAAGCGUGCGCAGGCGGUUAUAUAAGACAGAUGUGAAAUCCCCGGGCUCAACCUGAGACCUCCAUUUGUGACUGUAUAGCCAGAGUACGGUAGAGGGGGAUGGAAUUCCGCGUGUAGCAGUGAAAUGCGUAGAGAUCUGGAGGAAUACCGGUGGCGAAGGCGGCCCCCUGGACAAAGACUGACGCUCAGGUGCGAAAGCGUGGGGAGCAAACAGGAUUAGAUACCCGCGUAGUCCCUGUCUCUUAUAC